CCGAGAGCUGGCCGAGUGGGAGCACGCGCGCCUCAUGGGCCGCAAGCGGCAGUGGUUCUCCAUCGACGACGCGCUGGCCCAGCUGGCGCUGCACAAGCCCAUCCAACGGCACUACCUGCAGCAGCUCCGACGCAGCCGGAAGCCAGACCCGGACGGGAGCUAAGCUGUGUCCUGACAGGUUUUUGUGAUGUUUGCUGUCGCCUCCCACAUCUCGCCACAUUCUGACCUUCGACACAAGAUAACUUGAUACUAAAGU